UGAAAAAUGCCUAUGCCUCCUAAACAUCCUUACAUGUUAAGAGUGCAUGGCUAGUUGAACUGAUUGAGCAUGCUCAUAUUGGAGAGUGAUAAUGAUUUUGGAAUCUUAAACCCAGGGCAGAAAUGAAGGUGAAGGUUUGGGAAACUUUUGAGAGAUGAAUUGCAAAUCAUUGAGGAACUACUGACUAGUGGCAUGCUACGAAGUUUUCUAUUGAUUUGCAAGUUAUCGUCCAUAUCCAGUGCCGGUGGAUCAAUAGAGUAGACAUGUAUCAAGUUUUUAGAAGGAAGAGAGAACAAAUUGAAGAUUAAUACAAAAAGCAUAUCUUUGUCCCUUGAAAGAUUAAGAAAAUGAGAAAGAUUUAUGUAACUAUUAUUCUUUUCUUGUAACAUAUUUCACGGUUUUGUAUGCUCUA